rnacentral:lncRNA from 1 species
AACAGCUCACAGCCAGGAUUUGAUUUCCUCAGCUGCAAAAGGCCUGGGGCAGGGUGGGGCGGGACACACUGUAGGAGCACCUGUCCCAGUGGCCCGAGGGGCAGGGACACAGCGACAGGGCAGGGACACAGCGACAGUCCCGGCUGCUGCUGGCCCCGCCCCUCCAGGGUGUCAUCUUAUUAAGGCAAUGGUGUGGGCCAGCAGCGCAGGGCAGACCCAGCCCAGCCGGGUGAUCUGCGGCUGGGCUAAUUUGGGAAAUUAUUUCUUUGCAGGGUCAUACGUGAGUCAUCUGCCCAGGCCUCUUCCAGGUCGCCUGGCGACCAGGGAUCCCACUGAAACUGACUCUGCCAACAGCUGCUCCAAACCAGGAAACAUUUGGGCUGCUGUGGGUCGGAAAGGGGAUGUGGAGGAAGGAACCGGACUGCUCACGGAGGGCUAGGGCAUCCUCUAGAACCCGAGCUUGGGCAGGCAGGGCCAGUUCCCCAUUUCACUUCCUCGGGCUGUGAUCUCCGAGCUCCGCCUGGCCAGCGCCCGAGUUUCCCUGCAUGCUCACCGGCUUGGGCAGGAGAAUGGAGAGCACCAAAGACAGAGCACCAAAGACACCUUCGGAAAACUCCAGGAAACUACAGGAACGCACCAGGCUGGCCUGCCACUGCCCCUAACCUCAUGCAGUGAGCAGAGGCCGCCCAAAGUCCCUUGGUGAGGGCACCUGUUACACUGUUUCCAUGGGAAGUCCUAACCAUGGGAGGAAAGAGGGGGCAAGACCCGAGAAGUUCAAAGCUGAUCUAAAUACACACAGCCAAUCUGCCUAAGAGGCCCUCUUUCCUAGGCCACAAAAAUGCUUGCCUAAAAAAAAAAAAAAAAAAUGCUUGCCUAGUAUGCACAAGGCCCAGGGUUCAGCCCUGAGAACCACGCACACGCAUGCACACGCACACACACACAGACAAGCACAAGCACAGCCCAAGUGAUCCUACUUGCACUUUAAUGAGUCUGUGCUUUUUUUUUCCGGUAUUGAGACAGGGUCUUGCUAUGAUCCUCCUGCCUCAGCCUCCAGAGUGCUGGGAUUACAAACCUGUGCCCCAAUGGCAUGUGGCACGAGUCCUAUUCUGAAAGAUACACAGC